rnacentral:rRNA from 1 species
AGAGUUUGAUCCUGGCUCAGGACGAACGCUGGCGGCGCGCCUAACACAUGCAAGUCGAACGAGCGAGAGAGAGCUUGCUUUCUCGAGCGAGUGGCGAACGGGUGAGUAACGCGUGAGGAACCUGCCUCAAAGAGGGGGACAACAGUUGGAAACGACUGCUAAUACCGCAUAAGCCCACGACCCGGCAUCGGGUAGAGGGAAAAGGAGCAAUCCGCUUUGAGAUGGCCUCGCGUCCGAUUAGCUAGUUGGUGAGGUAACGGCCCACCAAGGCGACGAUCGGUAGCCGGACUGAGAGGUUGAACGGCCACAUUGGGACUGAGACACGGCCCAGACUCCUACGGGAGGCAGCAGUGGGGAAUAUUGCACAAUGGGGGAAACCCUGAUGCAGCGACGCCGCGUGGAGGAAGAAGGUCUUCGGAUUGUAAACUCCUGUUGUUGAGGAAGAUAAUGACGGUACUCAACAAGGAAGUGACGGCUAACUACGUGCCAGCAGCCGCGGUAAAACGUAGGUCACAAGCGUUGUCCGGAAUUACUGGGUGUAAAGGGAGCGCAGGCGGGAAGACAAGUUGGAAGUGAAAUCCAUGGGCUCAACCCAUGAACUGCUUUCAAAACUGUUUUUCUUGAGUAGUGCAGAGGUAGGCGGAAUUCCCGGUGUAGCGGUGGAAUGCGUAGAUAUCGGGAGGAACACCAGUGGCGAAGGCGGCCUACUGGGCACCAACUGACGCUGAGGCUCGAAAGUGUGGGUAGCAAACAGGAUUAGAUACCCUGGUAGUCCACACUGUAAACGAUGAUUACUAGGUGUUGGAGGAUUGACCCCUUCAGUGCCGCAGUUAACACAAUAAGUAAUCCACCUGGGGAGUACGACCGCAAGGUUGAAACUCAAAGGAAUUGACGGGGGCCCGCACAAGCAGUGGAGUAUGUGGUUUAAUUCGACGCAACGCGAAGAACCUUACCAAGUCUUGACAUCCUGCGACGCACAUAGAAAUAUGUGUUUCCUUCGGGACGCAGAGACAGGUGGUGCAUGGUUGUCGUCAGCUCGUGUCGUGAGAUGUUGGGUUAAGU